rnacentral:rRNA from 1 species
UGAGGAAUAUUGGACAAUGGGCGCAAGCCUGAUCCAGCCAUGCCGCGUGCAGGAAGAAGCAUCUAUUGUGUGUAAACUGCUUUUGUACGGGAAGAAACACUUCUUCGUGAAGGAGCUUGACGGUACCGUAAGAAUAAGGAUCGGCUAACUCCGUGCCAGUAGCCGCGGUAAUACGGAGGAUCCAAGCGUUAUCCGGAAUCAUUGGGUUUAAUGGGUCCGUAGGCGGUUUAGUAAGUCAGUGGUGAAAGCCCAUCGCUCAACGAUGGGACGGCCAUUGAUACUGCUAGACUUGAAUUAUUAGGAAGUAACUAGAAAAUGUAGUGUAGCGGUGAAAUGCUUAGAGAUUACAUGGAAUACCAAUUGCGAAGGCAGGUUACUACUAAUGGAUUGACGCUGAUGGACGAAAGCGUGGGGAGCGAACA